GAUGAACGCUAGCGGGAGGCUUAACACAUGCAAGUCGAGGGGUAAAAGGUAGCAAUACUUUGAGACCGGCGGACGGGUGCGUAACGCGUAUGCAACUUACCUUGUGCAGGGAGAUAGCCCGGGGAAACCCGGAUUAAUAUUCCAUAAAUCAUAUUGGCUGCAUGGUUGAUAUGUAAAAGUUAAGGCGGCACAAGAUAGGCAUGCGUCUGAUUAGCUGGUUGGUAGGGUAACGGCCUACCAAGGCGACGAUCAGUAGGGGUUCUGAGAGGAUUAACCCCCACACUGGUACUGAGACACGGACCAGACUCCUACGGGAGGCAGCAGUGAGGAAUAUUGGUCAAUGGGCGACAGCCUGAACCAGCCAUUCCGCGUGAAGGAAGAAGGCCCUACGGGUUGUAAACUUCUUUUCUGUAAGAAGAAAAACUUACGAGUUGAGGUAUGACGGUAUUACAGGAAUAAGCAUCGGCUAACUCCGUG
rnacentral:rRNA from 1 species